AUCGAACGCUAGCGGGAUGCCUUACACACGCAAGUCGAACGGAGUGGCGAACGGGUGAGUAAUGUAUCGGAACGUGCCCAGUAGCGGGGGAAAACUACGCGAAAGAGUAGCUAAUACCGCAUACUAUUGGAGCGGCCGAUACCGGAUUAGGUAGAUGGUGGGGUAACGGCUCACCAAGGCGACGAUCCGUAGCAGGUUUGAGAGGACGACCAGCCACACUGGGACUGGGCCACGGCCCAUACUCCUCCGCGUGGCGGCAGUGGUGAAUUUUGGACACUGUGGACAACCCUGAUCCAGCCAUCCCGCGUGUGCGAUGCAGGCCUUCAGGUUGUAAAGCACUUUUGUCAGGAAAGCAGUACCUGCAUAAUAAGCACCGGCUAACUACGUUCCAGCCGCCGCAGUAAUAC
rnacentral:rRNA from 1 species